AGCUCAAAUAGCGUAUAUUAAAGUUGUUGCAGGUAAAAAGCUCGUAGUUGGAUUUCUGUUCUGGACUGGCUGUCUGGCUCUGCUAUGUACGGCUUUGUCCAGGGCAUCACUCUGGGGAAUGUCUCUGCACUUCACUGUGUGGGGCGAGAUCCAGCACUUUUACUUUGAGAAAAUUAGAGUGUUUCAAGCAGGCGUUAGCCUUGAAUACAUUAGCAUGGAAUAACAAGGUAGGACUUUGGUCCUAUUUUGUUGGUUUCUGGGGCCGAGGUAAUGAUUAAUAGGGAUAGUUGGGGGCAUUCGUAUUUAACUGUCAGAGGUGAAAUUCUUGGAUUUGUUAAAGACGAACCGCUGCGAAAGCGUUUGCCAAGGAUGUUUUCA
rnacentral:rRNA from 1 species